AUUUCGCCCAGCGUGAACAGGUCUAGAGGAAUGUGAAUGAUCCUGUGAAGUAGGUAACACAUUAAUCCCUCACUGAAAUACGGCCACAGCAAACUCCUUUUCAAUUCCAGAAGGAAAUGAAAAGGAAUAUCCAAAUACUCAGUUGAAGACUGAAGACGUGCUUUAAACAAGUGAACUGUAAUGACCAGAAAUGCAGUUUCAGUCAGGAUCCCUUGGGCUUCUCAACCUAGUGCUUCUAUUAAAAAUGCCAUAGGAUUUUUGCAAUCUCAGGGUCAGAAGGAGGUGAUGGAUGUCCUUUCCCAGCAGUAGUGGUGCCCUCCUUGGAUUUGUAGAACUGCGUACAAAACACAUUUUCAUUUCAACAUCGCUAAGGCUAUGCCUUUUUAAUAGGGCAGGGGAGAACCCCUCCUAAUCAACAAAGUGCUUGGCUGCAGAUCCACUUAAGAUCAGAACCUGGAAGGCUACCUUCAGAUUAUGGAAGCUGGCAAAAUUCAUAACCUGGCAAAAGGAAAAAUAUUCACAUAACUCUCGGCAAGAACCCAAAUCAAACCAUUCUUUUUAAUUGCAGAAAGAUGAAGCCUCUGGACAAAAUGUGUUCCAAAUAAUAUAAUCUGCACUUCCUGUCACAUAAAGAAAACUCUUCUCAAGAUGCUGACUGGGAGACUCUUCCCCCACCUCUUGCAUCAUGGAUAAUCAAUAUUUGCCUGGAUGAUGCUGAUGAUGGACAAUACGCUGGGUCUGCAAUAACAUUGACUCAAAAUUCCUUGCUCAUUGUGAGAUAACUUCCUAAAGAUUGCGAGCAAAAGGAAGUCAGAGAACAAAGCAAUGUCAAGUAUGCACAUGUCACAACACAAUGCGCUGAUUCCAAGUCUUUGGAAACAUGCUGAAAGAUGUCUGGAAAAAAAAAAAAAAAGAAGAAAAAAAAAAAAAAGGAAAUGCUUUCACACAGAAUUUCGACAUGAAAACAACAGCUGAAUGUGCCUGUUCCUGCCAGGAAAAAAUACCCUGAAAAAACAAAAGGUGCUGGAAAACUAGAAAUGAAAUCAUCACAUGCUACACAAGAGGAUAUGAGCAGAGAUCAAGCCCAUUGAAAACAAACCGAGAGGUUGACCAGCCUACUGGGGUGACUGAAAGGCCAGAAAAGAUGCUGCGGGAAGACUUCCAAGCAACAAUAAAUAUUGAAGUUCUUUCCAACUCAAUGUUUUGAAAUGUCUUAGAAGUUUUAACCAAAAGGCCUUGCUAUGAUCAACUCUAGUAGGGGAAUAAGAGUAAUAUUUCCACAAGAAAUAUUUUAUUUUCAAUGGUACUUUCUCCAAAAACCACCAAUGGAGAAGUGGUGGGAUUUGAUGACAACAUAGACUUUAAAAAUGUAAUAAACUUAUCUAAUGGAAAAGAUGAUGACAGCUUUCAAAGAUAUGUCCACCAACAAGAACUGCUGCAGCCAGGUGAGAAAUUUCAGUGCUUUUAUUUUGCAACUUGAUUAGCUUGUGAAGGGUUUUUGUGAUAUAGUAGUCUCUGACACAAGGCACCAAGCCUUUGAUGAGCUUGCCACUCAAAUGUCUCUUCAAAGGUAGAAUAACAUGCUAAAGCAAGAUUUUUGUGGUUUAUUCAUAUCAGCUGCAGCAAUUCUUCUACCCAUGGUCAUGGCUUUCAGUGUUCCUCUGUACUGGAGGAUACUGGAGAUAUUCUUGUGUUUAUGUGGAACACUUUUGUAAACCACACGAUUCAUAAAUGUUAUUAAAAAAUUGAAUCAUAAUGGCCUAUCAGCCAGGAAAGACUCCUAAAUCUUUCCUGCGGCUGAAACUGAAUGAAUUUGUGAACAAGUCACAGAAAGACCAGGCAUGCUCUGCAUUCACGCCCUGACUCACAGUAUUUGAUACAGAACUAGCAGAAAAAAUAACAAAUUAAGAUGUUUGAUUUCUGUACCUGUUUACACUGUUGUUAAUGCAGAACCUCUAGAGGGAAAUUUGGCUUUGGAAAAAUCUUUAUUUCAGAGUAUAAACCCAGAAGGAUGAACCAUGCCCUAAAUAUUCACUUAAUCUACAGAUUUUGAAAGAAACUUAGAAAAUAAUACGCCAUUUUGCACAAGCAUGAAAGAUCUGUACAGCUAGAUAAUGAAUAGCAAAUGAAGCUCAUUGUGAUGAGUGAAAUCAGAUUCAAGGCAAAGUUGUUCUUGAGUGUCCUUCUCCAAUGAUGAAGACUGGCAGAAAUAAGAAAAGCUAAUAAACUUAAACUUUGACUCAGCUUUAACAGUAUUUCCAAAGUCUGUUUCAAAAAAUAUAAACACUUUAAAGAGUAGCCAGAAACCUCAUCUGCUCAGCCAUCACAGAUUUCUCAGCUGUGUUGAAGACAUAGCAACACAAAUUACCCUUGAAAUUUCUAUUUCAAGUCACACAUUUGCCUGAGUAAUAUUUUUAUAUUUUUAGGAGAGUUCUACUAGUAGCACAAGAACUUUUUCCAGACAAGGACUUAGCUUGGGUUUAUGUUAGCAUAUAAUUUGUAAAAGUUUGUAAUAAACAUGCCUUAGUGAGAUUGGCAAAGAUUAUGGGAAGGAAAACAUCACUGUUAACUUCAGGCUACUUGCUUCAAUUUAGACCUCAGGUUUGCUAUGUGAGCUUCAAAGCUACAGAGAAUUGAUGAAUCAUUAUGUAACUAAGACCAGAAUUUCCAGAGUAGUCUUUUUCAGAAAUUCUGCUUUGAUUGUGGAUUUUGAUUUUCAAUAUUAUUGACCAGUGGCCUUACACUUAUGUUGGGAAGUAUACUAAUAGUUUUUCAUUCAGAUAGGAGGAAAUAUGCAAGGCAUAUUUCGAUAUCUUAUGCUUGAGCUGGCAUCCUUCUACAUACCUACUGAAGUCAAAGGUUUAAGGUGCCAACUGAAGUAAGUCUUACAAAUAAACACUUAGGGAAUGUUUAUAUAAACAGGGUAAACAGAAGAGAAAAAUAUCAGUAUGAAUGCUAGUGGUCAGUCUUAAAUUACUACUCUUCUCAGGCCAGUUUUUAUACUCGGAUAUAGGGCCAUCAUUAUUUUUCCAAUGCUUUUCAACUUGUGGUAAGAUAUAAUUUCCUCUCUGCAGUAACUAAAGCAACAAUCUGUUUAGCUGUAUUAGGAAACUAAUCUUGUUAAUAAAUGAUGAAAGGAAACAAGGCAAGGACCUAUUUGCCAAAUUUUUUCUGUAGAAGAAUUAAGUUUUUCCAGGGUCCCUCUUUUGUCCGCACUGAGCAGCUUCUCUGCUCUGGGUGAAGUUUGUAUAUCCUUGGUACAACUCAAAAGCUUGAAAAUUAAAGCAUGCAUCAAUGUCUUUGAAAAUAGAUUUUAGUAACUAUUGUGAUAAUGUUUGUUGUUGUUGUUUGUUUGUUUUUUGUGUGUAUUCUACUGUUUAAAACAUGUAGAUGUUUUGGUCAAAUUCGAGUACGUCACUGAGAUACUGAGCAAGCUCAAAACAGAACAGCUGAUUGCUUUGAAGAGCCAACACUUGAAAUUACUUAAAGCACUCUUCUACCAAAGAGACAGAAGACAGCUUUCAUAUUCUCGAGUCAUCCUACAAAGUCCUGCGUGAAAUAGACUACUGCAGCCUACAGGCAUCAUAGAAAUAUUUCAGUCAAGACCACAAGUUCCACUCUUGCCCCUAUGCUUAUGCUAAUGUGCACGAUCUCUUUGAUGAACAACAGCAAGGAGACUGGAUAGCUUGAGGUGUAAUUGAUGGGAUGCUGAAGGUCUGGCUGUUGUUUUGGUGGUUAUUUUUAUAGAUUAUAAAGGAACUGACCAUGCAGUGCUACCUCAACUUGUGGCUGAAUCUAACAGCUUCAUGGACUCAGCCCUCCAUUUAGCCCAUUUGGUCAAAUUAGGCUGGUGGUAACUGAAAGCUGUGACCAGCUGAUGGCUAUGUUGAAUGAUAGCUUGUGGAAAUCUCCUUAGUGGACUCAGACCAAAUUUUACUGACAGAAUCUCACUAUCUCCAAGCAAAUUCCUCCAAAAUAAAUGCUAACUCAAGGCUCAGGGGCAACCACAGGUUUAAAGACAAGGAGGGUGAACUUGUGUCUUCUCUAGAAGUAUUUUCUGUAAGCCAGCAAUGAAGUGAAAAAAAGGCACAUUUGUGUCAGCACCACCCAGGCUGUCAAUAAAGAACUCCUGCCCUCAGAACUAUCAAAUCAAAUUCAUAUGAAUUUCCCACUCUUCCAAAACCACUUUCCCACAGGGAAGAAGGGAUCACAAAAUUAAACAGCAUUCCCUUCUUCUCACAUCUUUGUAAUCUGCAAGCACUGUGCCUGUCACAGUGCUCCCAGGAGGUUUCCUUAACCAUAAUGUCUCAUCUCUGCAAACAGCUGUUUCCCUUUUGCACAAGAGUUCUUGGAGAUAUGCUUCACUUAUCAGAACUAUACCACUGAAAAGCUGGUAAAUAACCAAGUUCUGUUGGAAAGAUGAAAUUGCACUGCAGAUAGAUGGAUUUGCUUAACCUAUAAAAUAAUUCUGAGAUAGCUAUUGUUUUGGCAAAAUUCUAAAAUGUAACAAAGUUUGAUUGUUCUUGGCUUCUCCUAAUUUGCUUACUUUGGGGUAAUAGCUGGCCUUCAAUAUGCAUGUUAGUCUCGUUACUGUUAAGUUAAAUAUAUACACACAUAUCUAAGAGAGGUUUGACCAUUUACUGUCAGUGUUCCAAGGUUAGCUGAAGUCUGGACCUAUUACUUUCUCUGUGCUCCACUAAUUGAGACCAAGGCUUAUGCAAGACUUCCUUGGGGAUCACAGGGUCUGAGGUUUUUAUAGUCCACAAGGCUAAAAUUCAAAUAUGAACCACAGCUGUUUGGAUGGAAGUCCUGGACCUCAUCCUUUUGAACUAUAGUGACCUGCUCAGCCUUGCCAUCAUGUGAAACUCAGAAAUCCCUGCACAGAUGAUGACUGGGAUGUGAAAAUUGCCUGCCAAGCAGACCUGGGUAAAGUGAUUGGUUUACAGUGCUCUGGGAUUUGCAGGUGAAAGGACUGCUCUCUCACUCUCCUCUGCUACCCUCUUCCCCUCCAUUUCUGUACAUAUCAUUCUUUUAUAUAUAUAUAUAUAUGCAGAUUUGAUUCCACAUUCACCACCCAAACAGCUGAAUUGAUGUUCCUAUUGAAGAUGGUGAAGUUCCUCCCUUCUGCCAAGUACAGUUAUUUUUAUGAGUCCCCAGUAAGAGGUAAAGUAAGAGAAACAGGGUGUGGGAUAAACUAGUUAAUCUAUUUAAAUAGGGAUAGACCUCUAGCGCCCUAACACUUAAAUACUUUGUCUUCACUCGGCUGUGCUAUAUUUUAACUGGGGACUACAACCAGGACAAACAAGCGUGGCCUUUUCCUACUGUGGAUUGUCAUGCGAAAAUAUUUGUGAAGGGGUGGAGUAAACAUUUUUGGGGAUCACACUGCAAGAGGAGAUAUAUGGGAACUCACUGUGAUGCAAAAGGAAAUCAUGUGUUACUCCACAGAUGAUGUGAUUGGCAUUGUGAGCUCAGAUGCGUAAAGACUAUCGAGGCAAAAAAAUCAAGAUUGAAGCAGAAUGAAAUGCUCCUUUCUUCGGUAAGUCAGUGGGAGUCAUAAAUACUUCUGCAUCAGCUAGGAAAGCUACAAAAAACUAAAUCACAACUCUAUUUUCAUGCUGAUGCAUGCACUUUAAAGUAAUAUAUAUAAAAAUGCCUUCCUUUUGGCAUAACUGCAAUUACAUAAAUAUUUAGAUUUAUACUAAUAAGUAAUUUUGCAGAAGUUUAAAAUGAUAGGCUGCGUGAUAGCUAUUUAAGGGGAUGGGCAGCCCACCUUCCAGUGGCCACAGUGACUUCCAUCAAGUCGUAAUUGCAGGAGAGGGUGCUUCUGGAAAUUAAUGGUGAAUCUUAUAUUCCCUUGCAUUUAGAAUCCAAAUCUAUUAUUUCAUUACUACUGUUAAUUAUAUAACAAUCAUAUAAUAAUUAUAAAAAUAAUUAUAUAAUAACUAUGUCUGAAUAAAUAAUAAGCAUUUUCAAUAUUAAUGACUGCCUAGCAAGCAAGGCAAAGCAGAUCUUAAUCUGGUUUGAGUUUCUAUCCUUACACAUUCAUUUUACUCUUGCAAAGCAUAUUAAAUACUAUGGAAUGUAUAAAAAAGGCCACAAUUUCUUCUCUAUUGGUAUACUGAAAGUCUUUGUGUGUCCAAGGUAAUAGGAAUUCCCACAUUCGUGCUUACUGUAAAAUACAGCAAGCAAAAGCUAGAUAAAUUCUGUUUAAUAUGGAAAUAAUUUUGGCUGCAUCUUUGGCUUUGUAUGACAUGGAAACUGGUGAUUGUUUAUGCUUUGCUACUUUUUUUGGUCUGCAUUAAAAUCCCACAUGAGAAACAAAUUUUUCUCUAGGAACAAAAUGUUACUUUUUUGGGACUGAGUUCUAAUAAGUUGGGUAGUACGUCUGCUUCUUUUCAGCUGGGAAAUUGCAAUGCAUAUAAAAUCCAGAUGGAUAACACAUGAGGCUGGAAGCAGCCUUGGCCAAUCAGCCACGUCACUUGAUUAAAAGAAACCUAUAAUAAUUUAAGUAAAAAUAGUACCCUAACAAAGUAACAGAGCAACAAACUGGCUGCAGCAUGCGAUUUCAUCACAGUUCCAAUAUUGCUUUACUUUUGCUGGUUGGUCCUUUCAUAUCUUAUUGUAAAUUAACCUAUUUGCAUUAAGCGUGCAUGGAACUUGUGAUUAAAGCCCCAAAAUGUCAGUGAUGGAAGAUACAUGAUAAGCAGGAUGAGGGGGUAAAUCCAUCACCAGACUACAGAAGGCCACAAGGACCUAUUGCUCUUAGGGCAGUGGUGCACUUGAAGAACUCAGCUGAGAGUUUUGCCAUGAGGAAUCACCUACCCUGGCACGUGCCACACUAGUGCAGACCAGUACUUUUUGUAUGGAUUUUGUCUGUGACUGUCAGAAAGCAAGUAAGUGCAUCAAUGCAAUUACAAGGUCACUCUGCGGAAAAACUCCUGACUAUCCCGCGAGAUGCAGCAGAUUUGUGGGUGAGACUGUCUAAGGCAGCCUGUGAAGAAGUCACAGACAGGACUUGCAGAGGGAUGGAGCCACAUCUGGAAUCCCUGUGGGCAAUUGAAGGAAUGUUUAUUAUUCUUUGUUUAUUAUUUUGAGUGUGUACUCUCCCUCUUCCUUUCUUUGUCUCUCUUUGUUAUUUGUGUAAUAAAAUUCCUCUAGGCAUACAAAGUAAGUAAGUCAUCUGGAAUUGUGCAGUUCCCUCUGCCAGGAAGCUGGAAAAGCCUCUCGUGCAGAGACAAAAAUAUGGGCUCAUCUCAAACACUGAGAAAUUACAGAAAUAUUCACCAUUUGCCUUUGAGUUAUAUUUACAUAGGAAAGAACUGUGGCAAAUACGUGUGCUUCUUGCUGUUAAAAAAAAUUGGCUUUUAUCCUGCCCAAGGUGUUGUGUUUAUUUAAAGGUUGUUGAGAAAUAAUUUGUACGUUCUAAAAUAAAGCAUGCAAAAUACAUUAAAAGGGCCCAGUGACAAAGUUGUUUUUUUUUUUUUGCCAGUGGGUGUGGAGAAGGAAAAGGAAAUGAGUAAGUAGAGAGGAGCGUCUUUAUGGCCACAUGGCUAGUGAAAAUUUCUAUUUAUUCUUUGGGGAAAAAGCAAAGUAGCUGCAUAGUUGCUGGUUGGAUAGGUGCCGGGACUAUUUUUAUUGGCAGGCAGCUCUGAGUGGCUGAAAGGCGGUCAUUAACACUCUGACACAAAGUGCUGACAGGGCGAUUAUAAGAUUAACACCCUAUGUUAUAUUAACAGUGUCAAAACCUCCCCGUACCUGUCAGUGAGAAAUAAUGGCACGAAGGAAAACAUUAUAGACAUGCUGAGACUUUAGCAUUGAAAUACCAUGCAGCUAUUCACUUUUUGAAAUUGAUCUAAAUAUCUAGAUGACCUACUGAAGGCUCAUAAAAUAAUGUGAUUUAAAUGGCAGCUUCACCAAAUCAAAAAAUGAAUGCAAAAGUUAAGCCGCCCAGCUUACUUACUCUCUUGUUGACACUUUUAGCCCUGAUCUCCCUGGCAGUGGGUCUCUCACAACUGCUGCCUUUCAGUAGAGUUAUGGUUUGAGAUCUCAUAAAUUUAGGAUUUGACCUUAGGACUUUUGACAAAAACAGAGCUUUUCUGGAGAAUAUUAUUACUGGUCAAAAUUCAACCUCGGUCUUUCUCCAGGACUGCUAGUCAUCAUAGACUGGUUUUAUCAGUGAGAGCCUUUGGACCAUAAGGACCAAUCUGCAUUUAAAAUGUCUCUGCUCCACGUUCAUUAGAACUGGAAUAGCAAACCCUCUGGCAUAGCUGUCCUGGAGAAUAUCCAAAGAAUGGCAACGAAACCAGUGAAGUUUCUGGAUCACAAGUCUUAUGGAGAGCAACUGAGGGAAAUGAGAUUGGUCAUUCUGGAGAAGGUGAGGUUCGGGGAAGACCUUAUCACACUCUACAGCUGCCUAAAAGGAGGUUGUGGUGAGAUGAGGGCUCUUCUCCCAGGUUUCAGUGAUAGGAUGAGAGAUGAUGACCUUAAAUUGCACCAGGGGAGGUUCAAGUUGGAUAUUAGGGAAAAUUUCUUCUCAGGAGUGGUGAUGCACUGGCACAGGCUGCUCAGGGAGGCGGUAGAGUCACUGUCCCUGGAGGUGUUCAAGAAAAGGGUGGGUGUGACACUGAGGGACAUAAUCUAGAGCAGUCGUGGCCAUGGCUUGAUGGUUGGACUAGAUGAUCGUAGUGGUCUUUUCAACCUUGAUGAUUCUAUGAUAGCUUCAGCUAGACUGCCUUAUGCUGCCUUAAGUUCUGCCAGUUUUGAUUAAGAGGAUAAGCCAGGAGAAAAAAAGUUCUUCCUGUAAGACUAAAUCUGUACCUUCACUAGUAAAAAAUAUUGUUCAAGUGUUGCCAGGCAAAGCAUUAUUUCUGUAUUUUUAUUAUUAUAUUUUAUGUUGUAUAUGAUGAUAAUACAGUCUAUAUAUUUUUGUCUGUAAGACUGAUAAAUAAAAUGCAAAUUAAAUAUUCUUCUAAUACUUUGGUUUCUAACCAAAUAAAGACAUGGUCAAAU
ensembl:lncRNA